UACGGAGGGGGCUAGCGUUGUUCGGAAUUACUGGGCGUAAAGUGCGCGUAGGCGGACCUGCAAGUCGGGGGUGAAAGCCCGAGGCUCAACCUCGGAACUGCCUUCGAUACUGCGGGUCUCGAGUCCGGGAGAGGUGAGUGGAAUUCCUAGUGUAGAGGUGAAAUUCGUAGAUAUUAGGAAGAACACCAGUGGCGAAGGCGGCUCACUGGCCCGGUACUGACGCUGAGGCGCGAAAGCGUGGGGAGCAAACAGG
rnacentral:rRNA from 1 species